UCCUGGCAGUGGAACUGAUCCACGACGACCUUUUUCUGCAAUAUCCGUAGUUCAGAAUGUGUAAGCAAACAAGGGAAUUCUCAUACCACAUCAGCAAAGGAACAUGUGGCAGCAGAAACAUGGCCUCCUCAUAUGUCUAUCUUCAGAGAUGGUGUAAAGACCACAAAACUAAGUGUCCGUAUUAAACUCAAAACGUUGGGUCCUCCUUUCAUUAGAACAUCGUAACCUCAAGAAAUUUCAAUGGAAGUAUUUGUUUUAUUUUGCACACUGCACAUUUCAUAUAUUAGCUUUGCCAUGCCGAUCAAACUUGUCGCGAACCAACAACUUUCAACAAAACACACGUACUUCACAUAAAGAUUGAACUGAUAAAAAGUACAAACGAUAUAUCGCUAACCAAUUAAGUCGAUUUUUCAGUUCUCACCUCUUUAUGUACCUCAGUCAUGACCUCUUUAUCGGUACCAAAUUUCUGUCCUACAAAAAAAGUUCCCUAUGCUGCAAAAUAAACAACAUGAGAUCAACCUUUCUCACAAACAGUAAAGAACAACAAAUCAUCGGUUUGAUCAAACUUGGCCUGAAUAAAAAAGAUCAUUGAAACCACACAAGGAAGCCUUGGAAUUUUAUCGAGAAAGAAACAAAAACUGAUAGCAGAAACUUGAAUUAAUUAAGCACAUCAUGUACUGUAUAUCCCUACAUCCAUCCCAAGAAAUUGUGUAUAGAUCGAAGCAUGAAGCAGCUGUCCACAUAUCAAUUAGAGAACAAUUUGGAGGGAGUAACAGGGGGAUUUUGCCUCACCGGUGGAGUAUCUUGUCAUGUGAUUGGAGUGAUAUUGGUGACCACCGUAUGCCCGUACUGCUAGCAACGCACCCCAUGCUGUUCCCCAUGCGACAGAACUUGACACAUAAUAUGGACCUCGCCGACCAUCACACGGACAAUGAUGCACCAGGGGACAAGACAGAUUGCAAAAGAGGGGACAGAGGGUUCUGCACAUGAGAGGAGAAUGCCUUACUCGUCUCCAGUUUGACGUUUUUGCAAUCACAAAUAUCCCAUUGUAUCACAGUUCUUCAAUUGAAUAUAUGUUUCAUUCAAUUUCAGCAUGUUCUGAAU
rnacentral:lncRNA from 1 species